rnacentral:lncRNA from 1 species
CUGGCCCACUCCAACAGAGGAGAUCUGCUGAGUGCGCCUGACGCAAUUGGCGCCAACCUGCCAGAGGGGCCGGAGGAAGUUCAGGAGGAUGAGUUUCCUGAUGAGACAAUACCUCAGGCCACUGAUAUUCUUUUCCCGUCUUCUUCUCCGGAACCUACGGCUGAAAGUGAAGGUGCAUCUCGGAGUCCUGUCAGCUCCCCAUUUGAGGACAGUGGGCCUAUCACUUCAACUCCGGAUAGUCGGUGUGAUCCCAGAGGCAUUCCCGGAUGGGAGGCAGUCGAUGCCUUGGCAGGGUACCUUGUCAGCCUCAACCGGACGAUAACUGCUCUUUCGAACCAAGAAAUAGCAGAUAUACUGAGGUUGUACUCCAGCCUGGAUGGAAUCGACAAGUCCCCAACAAAGUACUCCCUAAAAAAUAAGAAGACGACCUUGCCAGGGCCAUGGAGAGCUUCUCGGAAACGCAGUGGCUCUGCUCCAGGCCAACAAGCAGCCGAGAGGUACCUGCAAACAAUCAGCUUCAAGUAUAUGUGUGUAGCUGUGUGUUCAUGUGUAAUUAACUGCAUACACAUACACUUUAAUGGUGUGUGUAUGUAUACAUUUAAUAUACUUGUAAUAUAUGUGUGUAAAAGUGUGUUUGUACAUUUGUAUGUAACAUACAGGGGUAUAUAUAUAUUUAUAUAUAUACACACACGCACCCACAAAACAAACACACACAUUGUGUGUUUACAGUACACACACAAUGUUGGUUAUAUCAUCUUGUCUUUUCGCAGAUUGUUCAUGGUUCAUGGCCAGGCUGCCCAUAGACCCGAUUACACCAGGGUCUCUGAGUGUGUUGCACUGAAGCUUUUCAAGGAGUUCAAGGAAGGCAGAAAUAGACCAAAAGACCCUAAGGGGAGGACAUUUCCAAUUCCUCAGGCUAUUGUUAUGACGUAUGGUCAUAUUAAACAAUUAAUUGAGGAUUGCCAACAAAUCCUGCAAAGCACCAACCUGGUACUGGUGACCAUAAAUAAUACAAC